rnacentral:rRNA from 1 species
AACAUUUUGAACAGCUUGGAUAGAAAGUGAAGGAUGGCUUUGCUAUCACGUAUAAAUGGUGCUGCGCCGGAUUAGAUUUCUGGUGAGGUAAUGGCUUCUUAUGGCAUCGAUCCUGAAUCGACUUUAAGGGGCGAUCGGCCACGCGGAUAUUGAGACACGGUCCUACCUCAUACAUUGAGAAGCAGGAAGGAAUCUUACGCAAUGGGCGAAAGCCUGACGGAGCAACGCCGCGUGAGUGAUGAAGGGUUUCGGCUCGUAAAACUCUGUUAUUAGGGAAGAACAAACGUGUAAGUAACUGUGCACGUCUUGACGGUACCUAAUCAGAAAGCCACGGCUAACUACGUGCCAGCAGCCGCGGUAAUACGUAGGUGGCAAGCGUUAUCCGGAAUUAUUGGGCGUAAAGCGCGCGUAGGCGGUUUCUUAAGUCUGAUGUGAAAGCCCACGGCUCAACCGUGGAGGGUCAUUGGAAACUGGGAGACUUGAGUGCAGAAGAGGAAAGUGGAAUUCCAUGUGUAGCGGUGAAAUGCGCAGAGAUAUGGAGGAACACCAGUGGCGAAGGCGACUUUCUGGUCUGUAACUGACGCUGAUGUGCGAAAGCGUGGGGAUCAAACAGGAUUAGAUACCCUGGUAGUCCACGCCGUAAACGAUGAGUGCUAAGUGUUA